rnacentral:rRNA from 1 species
GUCAAAGGGGAACAGCCCAGAUCGCCGAUUAAGGCCCCAAAUUCUACGCUAAGUGAGUAAGGAAGUGAAGUUUCAAAGACAGUUGGGAUGUUGGCUUAGAGGCAGCCAUCAUUUAAAGAGUGCGUAACAGCUCACCAAUCGAGAAACUUUGCGCCGAUAAUAGACGGGACUAAAGUGUAGAGCCGAAAUCGCGGGUGUAUCGCAAGAUAUGCGGUAGGAGAGCGUAGUAUGUGCAGCGAAGAUAUACCGUGAGGAGUGUUGGAGCGCAUACUAGUGAAGAUGCAUGGCAUGAGUAAACGAUAAAAGAGGUGAAAAUCCUCUUCGCCGUAAACCUAAGGUUUCCAGGGUAAAGUUCGUCUUCCCUGGGUUAGCCGGCCCCUAAGCUAAGGCUGAAAAGCGUAGGCGAUGGGAAGCAGGUUAAAUAUUCCUGCGCCGCUAAAGAGCAAUGGUGAUGAGAUGACGGAGUAAGUUAAGCAUGCGGACUAUUGGAUGUCCGUGAGGCUGUGAGGUGGGCUUGUAGGAAAAUCCGCAGGCGGAAAACCAGGCAGAAUCCAAGGGGAACCGAAAGGGGAUCCGAUGAUGUAGCGCGAUGCUUCCAAGAAAUAGUUUCUAACCGUAAUUUAGCGACCGUACCAAAACCGACACAGGUGGGUGGGAUGAAUAUUCUCAGGCGCGCGAGACAACUCUCGUUAAGGAACUCUGCAAAUUACCCUCGUAACUUCGGGAGAAGAGGGGCCAGGGUUCGUGAUAUUCUUCGCGAAUAGAAGCGAAAACUGGUCGAAGAGAAAUGGCCCAGGCGACUGUUUAACAAAAACACAGCACUAUGCAAAGUCGUCUAAGACGACGUAUAUGGUGUGAAGCCUGCCCAAUGCCAAAAGGUCAAAAGGAGAUGUCAGUUGAGCAAUCAGCAAAGCAUUGAAUUAAAGCCCUGGUGAAUGGCGGCCGUAACUAUAACGGUCCUAAGGUAGCGAAAUUCCUUGUCGGGUAAGUUCCGACCUGCACGAAUGGCCUAACGAUCUGGGCACUGUCUCAACGAGAGACUCGGUGAAAUUGUAGUAGCGGUGAAGAUGCCGUUUACCCGCAACAAGACGGAAAGACCCCGUGAACCUUUACUAUACUCUGAUAUUGGCUUUUGACUUUUCAUGUGUAGGAUAACCGGAAGACAUAGAAGUUGGCUCGUUAGGGCUAAUGGAGUCAACCUUGAAAUACCGGUCUUGAAGAGUUGAAAAUCUAACGAUAUUCCGUGAAACCGGAAGUCGGACAUUGUCAGACGGGUAGUUUGACUGGGGCGGUAUCCUCCUAAAGAGUAACGGAGGAGUUCAAAGCUUCCCUCAUCGUGGUUGGCAAUCACGAAAAGAGCGUAAAGGUAUAAGGGAGGUUAACUGCGAGACCAACAAGUCGAGCAGGUACGAAAGUAGGACUUAGUGAUCCGGCGGUAGAAAGUGGAAUCGCCGUCGCUUAACGGAUAAAAGGUACUCCGGGGAUAACAGGCUUAUCGCCACCAAGAGUUCAUAUCGACGUGGCGGUUUGGCACCUCGAUGUCGACUCAUCGCAUCCUGGGGCUGGAGAAGGUCCCAAGGGUUUGGCUGUUCGCCAAUUAAAGCGGUACGCGAGUUGGGUUCAAAACGUCGUG